GCAGCAGGCACGCAAAUUACCCACUCCCGGCACGGGGAGGUAGUGACAAAAAAUAACGAUCGGGGACUCUAUUGAGGCCCCGUAAUCGGAAUGAGUACACUUUAAAUCCUUUAACAAGGAUCCAUUGGAGGGCAAGUCUGGUGCCAGCAGCCGCAAUAAUUCCAGCUCCAAUAGCGUAUAUUAAAGUUGUUGCGGUUAAAAAGCUCGUAGUUGGUUCUGCGUGCCGCGCUGUCGGUUUGCCGCCUGUCGGUGUAACUGGCAUGUCUCGGCAUGUCCUGUCGGUGGUGAAUGUAAUCUGGCCAAUAGGUUUAAGGGUUAGUAGUUCGAUGUGCGCUAAUGCGCUACACGGGCUUUUCCCCUUCUAACUUGUUGGUUUUUUUUGAUUAUGUUUACCGAUUUUUUUUCCUACUCCGGUGCUCUUAAACGAGUGUCGAAGUAGGCCGACACGUUCACUUUGAACAAAUUAGAGUGCUUAAAGCAGGCUGGAAAUAUCUGCCUGAAUAGUGGUGCAUGGAAUGAUAAAAUAGGACCUCGGUUCUAUUUUAUUGGUUUUAGGAAUAUGAGGUAAUGAUCAAUAUGGACUGGCGGGGGCAUUCGUAUUGCGACGUUAGAGGUGAAAUUCUUGGAUCGUCGCAAGACGCACUAGAGCGAAAGCAUUUGCCAAGUAUGUCUUAAUUGAUCAAAAACGAAAGUUAGAGGUUCCAAGCGAUCAGAUACCGCCCUAGUUCUAACCAUAAACGAUGCCAGCCAGCGAUCCGCCGAUGUUCCUUUAAUGACUCGGCGGGGAGCUUUUACCCGGGAAACCAAAGCUUUUGGGUUCCGGGGGAAGUAUGGUUGCAAAGCUGAAACUUAAAGGAAUUGACGGAAGGGCACCACCAGGAGUGGAGCCUGCGGCUUAAUUUGACUCAACACGGGAAACCUCA
rnacentral:rRNA from 1 species